UCUAAUUUUUCUUUUGCUAAUAAAAAGUUCGGGCAAAUUUAUAGUGAUUUUAUCUAUAACUAGACAAGAAAUACUGAUGUUAAAUUUAUUAUAUAAUAAAUAUUGAUAAAAAAGAAAAUUGAUGUGUUCUUAAGAAGUACGAGAAGAUGAUUUUUUGUGUCAUGAAUUCUUUUAAUGCGAUGGAAAAUCUGUUUUUGAUCGAUGCAUCAGAUUUAAAAACGUGUCCACAUGAUAAUAGCGAAGAUUCAUGGUUUUCUUAUAUCAUGUAAACUCUCUCAAGCUAACCUAUAAUUUGUUUCGAAUACAUCCAAAAAUUGGAUUGCGUGAGCAUGAUAAUCAAAUCUUGUAAUAAUCUAAUAAAGAUUUAUUAUUCUAAACUAUUAUUCAAUGAAUAAACGUAUCUCUGAUUUAAUCCAAUCCUUAGGAGUUCUUUAGGAAUUCAAAAAUUGGCAAUUUUAUUUGCAACAAAAUUAUCAGAUGCUACUGCUGGAUAAUAGCAGGGAAUGCGAUCGGUCAUAAUAAUGAAGGAAGAUUUUUUUCUCUUUUGAGCGUGCAUCUUCUACCGUGGCUGUUAUGUUAAAAUUUUAAAAUUCUCGAACUGCGUGAUGUUUCUAACUCAAUACCUGUGACAAUUUGUUUUAUGCUUUCUUGCAUAUACAUUUGUCAUAUAACAACCUACGCCUCAUAUCCAUUUUUUGAGUGCUAUAAGCAUUACUAUACGAUAGUUCGAAUUCUUCGAAAAAUUUCUUAAAUUAUGUUAAUGAGAUUAAAUAUAUAUACUCGCUAAUACUUUUAAUUAAGCUUUCAUCUCUGCCAAUGUAAGGACAAAAAUUUGUUUAUUGAAAUUAGAUGGAAGAAUAUAUCAACGAUGCUAAAAUUGAUAGUAUUUAGAAUGCUGGUUGUUACAAAGUCGGUCAUGAUGCCGUUGGAUCGAGAAUUUGAUUCAACUUCACAAGCUGAUGAUUGCAUUGAUCUUUGUUCUUUCAGAUCGAAUCAGGAAUGCAUUGGCGGAUCUUUAAUGCUAAAGUGAAUUCUUUUUUAAUAAUAAUGAUUCUUGAUUGAUGUCCACUGGAUACUGAAUUCACUUUUAAAUAUUUAUCUUUUGAUUGUAUCCGAUUCAAAGGACUAAAUAUUAAAGUCUAAACUAAAUGAUUUUGAAUAUUGCAAAUGGAAUAUCUGAACUGAUAGUAUUACUCGAUUUACUGUUGUAGAAUUGUACAAUCGUUUGUCUUAUAAAAAUAAACGAAUGAUAAUUUACUUUAAUUGUUUACGGGUUGAUUGAUGACUAAUUGUAAUGAUUUUAAUUGUACUAAUGUGCUACAUUGUUGCUGAAUUCUAUCUAAUUUAAAUUUAUUUUAUUCAAAUUGAUUUAAUCUAGAAGAUGUCUUGUCUUAUCUUUUUCUCCAAUCAUUAUUUUCCGUGAAAAUACAAAAAACUAAAAGGAUGUUAGAGAAACCAAGAAGGACGAUUUCGAAAGAUGGACCCUCAUGAGAUCGCGUCGCAGUCCGUGGAAGUUAAAACUGCUGCGAUCGCUUUCAUAAUUCAUCGCAAGACAUUAGGAGCGCAAAUAUAUCUUGUGAAUUAUUUCUAGAAUAUUAAAAAUGCUUAUGUUGUUGAAAAUAAAAUCCAAAUUAUCUAAUCAUUUCACAAA